AGUGUAGGCGGUUGCCUAAGUCGGAUGUGAAAGCCCCGGGCUUAACCUGGGAAUUGCAUUCGAUACUGGGUGACUAGAGUUUGGUAGAGGUAAGUGGAAUUCCGGGUGUAGCGGUGAAAUGCGUAGAUAUCCGGAGGAACAUCAGUGGCGAAGGCGGCUUACUGGACCAAAACUGACGCUGAGGCUCGAAAGCGUGGGGAGCAAACA
rnacentral:rRNA from 1 species